CACUCAUCAGACAACUGCAAGGACAUUGUCCAGGACAGUGUUAAUUCCAUUUACCUGUGAUAUCCAAGAGGCAGACAGAUUCUCAUUUCCUGGACACCAACCUCAGCCCCUCCAGGGGUCCCAGUGUUCCCAAGACCUGGAACUUCCCCUGUGGGAGCAUGCACCCUGGGCGAAGACCAUUAUUUUGGCAUCAAUGAGUAGUAGCCUCAACCGAAUGGGGCAGAAAGGUCAGGAUAUUUUCAUGGGGAUCCAGGGAAGACAUAGACACAUAUGUACACUGUGUGCUGGAACCGAGUCAACUUUUUCAAAAUAUAUGUUUCUCCCAGUGGGAAGCCUCAAGACUGGUCAAAGCUGAUAAAUCUAAUGGCUGUAGGAAGUUCCCCAAUCUUGCAUCUUAGACAUCACUUCCUGGACAAUUGGAGCUUUUCCUAGAGAAGUUUGUCAUGAGGACCUAAGACUACAGUGGAUAAAGGAGCCAGAGUACCUGCUGAGGCCUAGAUACCCACUCUUUCUGAGCACUCAGUGACUUUAAAUGACUGCCAAUGUUAAAAGUGAUCCUAAUUUAUAACAUGGGCCCUGGCUGGUGUAGCUCAGUGGACUGAGCGAGGGCUGCGAACCAAAGGGUAUAGGGCCCGGUCCCCAGUGGGGGCCAUGUGAGAGGCAACCACACAUUGAUGUUUCUUUCCCUUUCUUUCUCCUUCCCUUCCCCUCCUUCUAAAAAAAUAAAAAUAAAAAUAUAACAUGGAAUGGAGAUAAAAAUAACUUAUUUUGUAGCUUCUUGCUAAAUGUAAUUCUGAUGAU